rnacentral:rRNA from 1 species
GACGAACGCUGGCGGCAUGCUUAACACAUGCAAGUCGAACGGAAAGGCCCUGCUUUUGUGGGGUGCUCGAGUGGCGAACGGGUGAGUAACACGUGAGUAACCUGCCCUUGACUUUGGGAUAACUUCAGGAAACUGGGGCUAAUACCGGAUAGGAGCUCCUGCUGCAUGGUGGGGGUUGGAAAGUUUCGGCGGUUGGGGAUGGACUCGCGGCUUAUCAGCUUGUUGGUGGGGUAGUGGCUUACCAAGGCUUUGACGGGUAGCCGGCCUGAGAGGGUGACCGGCCACAUUGGGACUGAGAUACGGCCCAGACUCCUACGGGAGGCAGCAGUGGGGAAUAUUGCACAAUGGGCGGAAGCCUGAUGCAGCAACGCCGCGUGCGGGAUGACGGCCUUCGGGUUGUAAACCGCUUACGCCUGUGACGAAGCGUGAGUGACGGUAAUGGGUAAAGAAGCACCGGCUAACUACGUG